AAGAUUAAUGGAUGUAAAAUAGACAUGAUGAUAAGUCCUCUCACUCCUGAUUGUAAGUUAUCUAUCCCCUUUUUUCAACUUUCAGACAUUUCCAAGCCACUGUACUAAAUCAUCGGUAGUACGAAACUUGCUAUGAAAUUCUAGCAUUUUGUAUAGGUAUUCGUCUUUCAGAAGUUACAAAUAUGUGCGAAUGCAUAAGUACUGGAUUUAUAUUUCUUUACCUCUGGGUAGGUGUCCUUAUUGCUGGAUUUUUCUUCAGUAUGACUUUCCUUUUCGUCAAUUUAUGUUUGAACAGAAAGCCUAAGUCUAGACAAGGCUUCGUUACUGGAAAUGUCCGAAAUGAAAGAUUUAAUAUUCAACAAGGUACACCAACUAUCACCGGCUACCAGAAUCCUUCAAGAUAUGUCCAAGGCACUUAUGGACCUCCCUAAAAUGUACUACCACGCUAAAUAUCAACUGCACCUCAUUAUUAGAAAAAGUGAUCAAAGGAGAAAUUUAUUCAUAUUCAAGCUCGUAAUGUUAUUGAAUUCAUAUCUGGUUAAAUAAAAGAAAUAAUAAUUUUCUU